UACAGAGGGUGCAAGCGUUAAUCGGAAUUACUGGGCGUAAAGCGCGCGUAGGCGGUCGGGUCAGUCGGAUGUGAAAUCCCCGGGCUUAACCUGGGAAUUGCAUUCGAUACUGCCUGGCUAGAGUGUGGAAGAGGGAAGCGGAAUUUCCGGUGUAGCGGUGAAAUGCGUAGAUAUUUGGAGGAACACCAGUGGCGAAGGCGACUCUUUGGUCUAUUACUGACGCUGAGGUACGAAAGCAUGGGUAGCAAACAGGAUUAGAUACCCCGGUAGUCCCU
rnacentral:rRNA from 1 species